AGGGCUCAGCCCCAGAUGGUGACAGGGGUGGCACUCGGUGCUUCCAUUCCUGAGGUGAGGGAGCAGCAGGUGGCUGGACCAAGAGACAAUUCUGCAGGAUGGCGAGAGCUGCUCUUGCAGUUUGGUAAUACCUGUGUGGUCUUUUUGGGUUAUCAUAGAAAGGUUUGGGCUGAAAGGGACCAUAGAAACUAUCUCCUUCCACCCCCUGCCAUGGGCAAGGACACCUUCCACUAUCCCAGGCUGCCCCAAGCCCUGUCCAGCCUGGCCUUGAGUAUGUCCACAGCUUCUCUGGACACCCUGUGCCAGGGCCUCCCCACCCUCCCUAAUUCCCUAAUACCCCAUCUAACCCUUCCCUGUGCCUGUUGAAACCAUUCCCCCUUGUCCUGGCACUCCAUGCUCUUGUAAAACAUCCCCCUCCAGCUUUCCUGUAGGUUGUAGAAGGCAGUGCUGCCUAAUUGGAUGGUGAACAUGAAUAAAAUCCAUUUUUCAAAGCUGA